UACGAAGGGGGCUAGCGUUGUUCGGAAUUACUGGGCGUAAAGGGCGCGCAGGCGGCCCUCCAAGUCAGGCGUGAAAGCCCCGGGCUCAACCCGGGAACAGCGCUUGAGACUGGGGGGCUUGAGUUCGGGAGAGGAGAGUGGAAUUCCCAGUGUAGAGGUGAAAUUCGUAGAUAUUGGGAAGAACACCGGUGGCGAAGGCGGCUCUCUGGACCGACACUGACGCUGAGGCGCGAAAGCUAGGGGAGCAAACGGG
rnacentral:rRNA from 1 species